rnacentral:rRNA from 1 species
CCGCGAACGGGUGAGUAACACGUGGGUUAUCUGCCUCGAUGACCGGGACAACCCGAGGAAACUCGGGCUAAUACCGGAUGUGCCCGCAAGGGGAAAGGAAGCUUCGGCCUCCGCAUCGAGAUGAGCCCGCGGCCCAUUAGCUUGUUGGUGAGGUAACGGCUCACCAAGGCUUUGAUGGGUAGCUGGUCUGAGAGGACGAUCAGCCACACUGGGACUGAGACACGGCCCAG